AUGCCAUGGCGGCGGCCGACACAGGCAAUGAUGGCACGGAAGCAGCUCAAGGUGCUCCAUGCCCUCGACGUGGCCACGACCCAGGUGUACCACUUCACCGCCAUCGCGAUCGCCGGCAUGGGCUUCUUCACUGACGCCUAUGACCUCUUCUCCAUCUCCCUCGUCACCGACCUCCUCGGCCGUAUCUACUAUGAGGACGGUGUCCUCCCUGUCGGCGUCUCGGCGCUUGUUAACGGUGUUGCACUAUGCGGCAUGGUGGUCGGGCAGCUCUUCUUUGGAUGGCUCGGCGACAAGGUGGGCCGGCGGCACAUCUAUGGUGUCACCCUGAAGCUCAUGGUCAUCUGCUCCAUUGCCUCCGGCCUCUCCUUCCACCAUUCACGCAAGAGCGUCAUUACCGCGCUCUGCUUUUUCGUUUUUGGCUUGGCUUUGGUAUCGGUGGCGACUAUCCACUCUCUGCUACGAUCAUGGCGGAGUAUGCAAAUAAGAAGACUCGUGGCGCAUUCAUUGCCGCUGUAUUCGCCAUGCAGGGUCUAG
rnacentral:rRNA from 1 species